UACGUAGGUGGCAAGCGUUAUCCGGAAUUACUGGGCGUAAAGCGCACGCAGGCGGUCUUGUAAGUUUGACGUGAAAGCUCCCGGCUUAACUGGGAGAGGUCGUUGAAGACUGCAAGACUUGAGGAAAUGAGAGGGGUGUAGAAUUCCCGGUGUAGCAGUGAAAUGCGUAGAGAUCGGGAGGAACACCAGUGGCGAAGGCGGCCUUCUGGACCAAUACUGACGCUCAUGCACGAAAGCGUGGGGAGCAAACAGG
rnacentral:rRNA from 1 species